CCAGAGAGCCCUCUACAGAAGGAUGUAAUGGAUAAUUAUUGGUAUACAGUGAGGUUCAUAACCAAAAACAAAAGUUCUCUCCAUGAGACCUGGAAUCUGUAAACUGUCUUCUGGCUAAGGUAAUGAACACCCACACAGUUACAAUAUUGUGAGGAGCUAAAGCACAUUUGAGAUUACACAGACCUGAGACCUGGAGAAGAGGCAUACCAGCUCAAAAUAAGAAGUUCUUUAAACAUCUGCAAUGCCCAAACUAAGAAAAUAUUCAGGAAUGAAAUGGGAACAAAUUAAAAGAAAGCCUCAUAAAGCAUUUAAUCUCCAUUCUUCCUCUCAAGCCAAAUUAAUCCCAAAUUUCUACAAGAAAACAUUAAGGAAUCUGAAACUUAGGAUAAACAACUUGCCUAAUUUCUUAUGAUGGAGAUGUAAUAGUGGUUGGAAUUUGGACCUAUUCCUUCUGAUUCUGGAGCUCACCAGUUAACCACUCUGCUAAACUGCCUCCCCAAGAGAUCCAAGCAGUGUUUGAGCAAAGUGGCAAACCAGGAAAUGCUCAUUUAAUGGAUGCGAAUUUCCUGCAGGAAUGAUGGAAUGGAGUUCAGGUCAACAGCAAAUAUUGCAUGGCUGCUUACUUUCUUCCUGUGGUAUUCUCUACAAGGACAAAUAGCACAGAACCCCCUGCCAUCUCAUACAAGUGACAGAUUGUAUAUGCAUUGGCAAGCUUGGGCUUGAAGUUUUUGGUGACACAAGACUGGCUUCUACUUCAGGAGACCAACUUCUUUUUCACAUAGCUCCAAUUUUCAGAGACAUUCUAUAACAAGUGAAGAGAUGAAGGAGAAAACUGGCUUGGGCCCAAUAUUCAGUAUGGUUGGAAACCACUUCAAGGAAGAGGUGCAAAUAUAUUCUAACUUAGAAGGAGGUAAGAAUCAGCAGAAAAGAAGGAAUCUUUGGAGAGCCAAAACCAUCUCUACACCAAAUUGAGAGACUGGAAUUAUAAGGUGAAUGCAAUUAACUGGCAGUCGCAUCCGUGUUGAGAACACAGUCAUCCCUUUAAUAGGGAACAUUUGCUGUGCUUGACAAACUCACAGUGAAAUCGUUGGAUCCAUAGGAAGGAACAUGCUGAAAAUGGUUUCAAUAUGAUCCUGUUUUUUCACUCAAUAGCCAUUGAUUGAGGGUGUCCAGCCAAAAACAAUGAGAAAAUGAGCCAACAAUAGUCUUACCCUUUGACCAUAUUAGAUAAAGUCGCAGCUGAAAUUUGUUAUAUGUUUCAGGAAUAACAAAGCAUCCAUAUGGAACAUAUAUUUGGCAGUGUGGCAGCUGAUGAAACCAGGAAAAUUAGACAAAUUAUCAAUUGCUCGCUCCCAAAUUACCCCAAAAAGAAAUUAGAUCCAUUUUCAGUAGCUUUGCCUUCAAAUUUCUUCAUUCCGUGAGUCACCACUACCUUCUGCCAAACUAAAUAUGUCUAUGAACGGCUGGAAACUUUAAUGGAAAGAAACAUAAAACUCAAACUACGUAGGAAAAUUUAAGCUUCUUCAUGGAAGAUCUUCAUGGAAGACUAGCAAGUUAGGAAUGUGUGAAGACAGACAACACAUCGAUAAUUCCUUUUGUUUGGGGUCACUUCUGAGUUAGCGAGCAAUGCAACAUGCUGGCUUGACUUCAAAUUAAAAUCAGCUCUUUCCUUU